GGUUAAGCGACUAAGCGUACACGGUGGAUGCCCUGGCAGUCAGAGGCGAUGAAGGACGUGCUAAUCUGCGAUAAGCGUCGGUAAGGUGAUAUGAACCGUUAUAACCGGCGAUUUCCGAAUGGGGAAACCCAGUGUGAUUCGUCACACUAUCAUUAACUGAAUCCAUAGGUUAAUGAGGCGAACCGGGGGAACUGAAACAUCUAAGUACCCCGAGGAAAAGAAAUCAACCGAGAUUCCCCCAGUAGCGGCGAGCGAACGGGGAGGAGCCCAGAGCCUGAAUCAGUGUGUGUGUUAGUGGAAGCGUCUGGAAAGGCGCGCGAUACAGGGUGACAGCCCCGUACACAAAAAUGCACAUGCUGUGAGCUCGAUGAGUAGGGCGGGACACGUGGUAUCCUGUCUGAAUAUGGGGGGACCAUCCUCCAAGGCUAAAUACUCCUGACUGACCGAUAGUGAACCAGUACCGUGAGGGAAAGGCGAAAAGAACCCCGGCGAGGGGAGUGAAAAAGAACCUGAAACCGUGUACGUACAAGCAGUGGGAGCACAGAGCAAUCUGUGUGACUGCGUACCUUUUGUAUAAUGGGUCAGCGACUUAUAUUCUGUAGCAAGGUUAACCGAAUAGGGGAGCCGAAGGGAAACCGAGUCUUAACUGGGCGUUAAGUUGCAGGGUAUAGACCCGAAACCCGGUGAUCUAGCCAUGGGCAGGUUGAAGGUUGGGUAACACUAACUGGAGGACCGAACCGACUAAUGUUGAAAAAUUAGCGGAUGACUUGUGGCUGGGGGUGAAAGGCCAAUCAAACCGGGAGAUAGCUGGUUCUCCCCGAAAGCUAUUUAGGUAGCGCCUCGUGAAUUCAUCUCCGGGGGUAGAGCACUGUUUCGGCAAGGGGGUCAUCCCGACUUACCAACCCGAUGCAAACUGCGAAUACCGGAGAAUGUUAUCACGGGAGACACACGGCGGGUGCUAACGUCCGUCGUGAAGAGGGAAACAACCCAGACCGCCAGCUAAGGUCCCAAAGUCAUGGUUAAGUGGGAAACGAUGUGGGAAGGCCCAGACAGCCAGGAUGUUGGCUUAGAAGCAGCCAUCAUUUAAAGAAAGCGUAAUAGCUCACUGGUCGAGUCGGCCUGCGCGGAAGAUGUAACGGGGCUAAACCAUGCACCGAAGCUGCGGCAGCGACGCUUAUGCGUUGUUGGGUAGGGGAGCGUUCUGUAAGCCUGUGAAGGUGUGCUGUGAGGCAUGCUGGAGGUAUCAGAAGUGCGAAUGCUGACAUAAGUAACGAUAAAGCGGGUGAAAAGCCCGCUCGCCGGAAGACCAAGGGUUCCUGUCCAACGUUAAUCGGGGCAGGGUGAGUCGACCCCUAAGGCGAGGCCGAAAGGCGUAGUCGAUGGGAAACAGGUUAAUAUUCCUGUACUUGGUGUUACUGCGAAGGGGGGACGGAGAAGGCUAUGUUGGCCGGGCGACGGUUGUCCCGGUUUAAGCGUGUAGGCUGGUUUUCCAGGCAAAUCCGGAAAAUCAAGGCUGAGGCGUGAUGACGAGGCACUACGGUGCUGAAGCAACAAAUGCCCUGCUUCCAGGAAAAGCCUCUAAGCAUCAGGUAACAUCAAAUCGUACCCCAAACCGACACAGGUGGUCAGGUAGAGAAUACCAAGGCGCUUGAGAGAACUCGGGUGAAGGAACUAGGCAAAAUGGUGCCGUAACUUCGGGAGAAGGCACGCUGAUAUGUAGGUGAAGUCCCUCGCGGAUGGAGCUGAAAUCAGUCGAAGAUACCAGCUGGCUGCAACUGUUUAUUAAAAACACAGCACUGUGCAAACACGAAAGUGGACGUAUACGGUGUGACGCCUGCCCGGUGCCGGAAGGUUAAUUGAUGGGGUUAGCGCAAGCGAAGCUCUUGAUCGAAGCCCCGGUAAACGGCGGCCGUAACUAUAACGGUCCUAAGGUAGCGAAAUUCCUUGUCGGGUAAGUUCCGACCUGCACGAAUGGCGUAAUGAUGGCCAGGCUGUCUCCACCCGAGACUCAGUGAAAUUGAACUCGCUGUGAAGAUGCAGUGUACCCGCGGCAAGACGGAAAGACCCCGUGAACCUUUACUAUAGCUUGACACUGAACAUUGAGCCUUGAUGUGUAGGAUAGGUGGGAGGCUUUGAAGUGUGGACGCCAGUCUGCAUGGAGCCGACCUUGAAAUACCACCCUUUAAUGUUUGAUGUUCUAACGUUGACCCGUAAUCCGGGUUGCGGACAGUGUCUGGUGGGUAGUUUGACUGGGGCGGUCUCCUCCUAAAGAGUAACGGAGGAGCACGAAGGUUGGCUAAUCCUGGUCGGACAUCAGGAGGUUAGUGCAAUGGCAUAAGCCAGCUUGACUGCGAGCGUGACGGCGCGAGCAGGUGCGAAAGCAGGUCAUAGUGAUCCGGUGGUUCUGAAUGGAAGGGCCAUCGCUCAACGGAUAAAAGGUACUCCGGGGAUAACAGGCUGAUACCGCCCAAGAGUUCAUAUCGACGGCGGUGUUUGGCACCUCGAUGUCGGCUCAUCACAUCCUGGGGCUGAAGUAGGUCCCAAGGGUAUGGCUGUUCGCCAUUUAAAGUGGUACGCGAGCUGGGUUUAGAACGUCGUGAGACAGUUCGGUCCCUA
rnacentral:rRNA from 1 species